GGUGGCUUUAAGCUGUUUUCUGCUCUUUUGUAGGGUUGUUGUCUCUUUGACACAUUCCCGAUUUCCAUUAGGGUUGUUGUCUCUUUGACACUCCCCACUUCCAUAUAGAGAUAUGUCUCCUGUUUUGUAAUUUUGAUGGUAUAUUUAUUAUGUUGAAAUUAAAAUGUCAAUACUAACAUGUAAACUAUGUCACUCAUUCAAAGUCAAUC
rnacentral:lncRNA from 1 species